rnacentral:lncRNA from 14 species
CCACCUAUCUUACCAAAGCAGAAAAAGAACCACAUAUGAAAACAAGGACAGUGUGUGAAACAUUUUAUGUGAAGCUAGAACUGGGUGACCCAGGAAUGACAAAGGAAGUGGAACAGAAAUGAAUUCAUGAGACCUUCCUUUUCUUUUUUUAGUUUGGCUCACAGCUAACACUGUUUCUGACCAAACUUCCUCCACAGCCUUGUUCACAACAGCACCAGGUCCCGUCUCCUCCUCUUUGCUAACUCCUUGGCUGGGAGUAUAAUUCUGGUAUUUUCUAUUCCCAUCAUUCCACUUCUGGCAGAACGCAUGGACUCCUCAUCCCUUGGCACCUGUCACAUCCAGUUAGUUGAAAUGUUUUGUUGCAUGGUAAUAUUCAUUCUGGAAUGUCCCAGACACCAUCUUACAAACUGAAUGCCAGAUUGUGACCAGCCCAGCUCUAUCGUGUCCUUCAUAGCAUUUCCCAGCCUGCCUUGGCUAAGAGGAUGCAUUAGGUGUGGGGCUUUGUAAUUUUGUCUCUCACUUGUUCUUCUCUCUUAUCCACAUGUUUGUUCUCAUCCUUCAGGCAGUUUCAGGAGUCUGAGGAAACUGAUCCAGCAGUUCUUGUGCCAUUGCAGCCGUCCACACGAAACAGAGAGCACCAUCCAGGAGCCAGUGGAAGUCAUUGAGACAAUGACACCAGAAGAGAUAGAUGCCUGGGAACAGGAGGAGCUGGACAAGAACGUGUGCUUUGACAGCUGCCGCGUAGAUCCCUCCCCUUUCCAACUGGUGGAGAGAACCUCCCU